GACGAACGCUGGCGGCGUGCUUAACACAUGCAAGUCGAACGGAAAGGCCCUGCUUUUGUGGUGUGCUCGAGUGGCGAACGGGUGAGUAACACGUGAGUAACCUGCCCUUGACUUUGGGAUAACUUCAGGAAACUGGGGCUAAUACCGGAUAGGAGCUCCUGCUGCAUGGUGGGGGUUGGAAAGUUUCGGCGGUUGGGGAUGGACUCGCGGCUUAUCAGCUUGUUGGUGGGGUAGUGGCUUACCAAGGCUUUGACGGGUACCCGGCCUGGGAGGGUGGACGGGCACAUUGGGACUGAGGGACGGACCAGAGUCGUACGGGGGGCAGCAGGGGGAAAUAUGGCACAAUGGGCGGAAGCCUGAUGCAGCAACGCCGGGUGCGGGAUGACGGCCUUCGGGUUGUAAACCGCUUUCGCCUGUGACGAAGCGUGAGUGACGGUAAUGGGUAAAGAAGCACCGGCUAACUACGUG
rnacentral:rRNA from 1 species